rnacentral:lncRNA from 1 species
CCAUUUUGUCAUUUUAUGUUCCUUAGUCCACGUUUACCAUUCUGCUGAUUUCCUAUUUUCUUCCUUGGUUUCGCAGCCUUGGCACAUUGCUCGCUCGGUCCCUCUGACCUGUCGAGGUCACCGGCUGACCGUAGCCUGGGGCAGGGCCCAGGAAUGUAGCUGCGCCGUCGCGACCGCAGGGUCAGAAAAGUAGUAACUGGAAACUGUGAUAUUUGACUCGUUAAUGUGUAUGUUAUGCCCAAUAAUGUGCUCAGGAUUGUAAAAUGUAUUGUUUGAUGCGAGUAGGGAUCUCCUGGACAUUUAAGUUGCGAAUAUGAUAGCUGACGCGGAUGAACAUUUCUGAAUAUGGGCGGUGCCCGGCGCCCCGGCGCUGGUCGGGGGCGCGGCGCGGGUCAGUUGAGCCCCGUUGAGGCUGGUGGUAUGUGGUGGUGUCUGCGCCAGAGCCGGUGAGUCGCACAGGAAAAAUGACUGUUAACUCGUAAUAUUUAUGGAAUAUGUAACCGUAAUUAGGGCGAAUAUUUACUGUGUAUGAAACCAAUAUUGAAUGUUAUAUGAAUUGCCUGCAGAUAUUUAUUACCGGUCAUUUAUAUGUGGAUAAAUAAGGUGAAGGCUGACACUCGUCUCGGAUUUAUAGCCAUUUACCAAGACCGUGAGGCUGGUCGUCUAAUGUGCCUCUGGAGACGUGUGCCUCUGGUUUCGUUAGCCGAUAAGCGACUCAGGGAGCACAUUUGUCGCAACGAUUGCGUGCGGAGGGCCACACGGUCCAAUACACCGAUCCGUGACG